CGACAGAAAGUUCUCCAAAUGCUGGCAGAACAAAAGAUGGAACUGACUUAAAGGAAUUUAUUAGGGAGCAAAUCAAAAAAGGGGAUGAGAGUUUUAAUGAAAUACCUAAAGGACACAGGUAUAGGAUACAGACUAUAGGAAAUAACAGUUCAUUUCUUUUUUCUUGUCUUUUUCUUCUCUUUCUUUUUUAUUUUCUAGCUCUGACCGUCUCAUGUUCCACACUCCAAUCCAGUAGGUGGCGGUAAAUGCACCUAAAAGCUGGUUGCCAACCGCCAACAAAAGCCAGUAGAAGAAGAAAGAGGAGGAGGAGAGUCAGACAGGUGUGCGCGUGGUGGACCCUCAGGAGAAUUAAUUAUUAUCAUAUAAUAAUAAUUAUUAUUAUUAUUAUUAUUAAAACUAGUUAAUUAAGAAAAUGAAUUAUCACCAUCAUCAGAUCAUGGCCGCACUGAUCUUCCCGGUCAUCGCACUGACACUUGUACCUGAAGCUGUCGGACUGCUGAAGGGACCGGUGACACGCGGACCAGAACCAACCCAGACUGCUGGUGUCAGGGAGGUCUCAGCUACAGUUGAGGGACAGAACAUCGCUCUACAGUGUCCAGCUUCUGAAAUAAAUGAAGAUGCUACUAUAGUUUGCACCCGAGGUAACCAGACGGUCUUCUUGUACCGGGAUGGACGCCCUGAUCCAGACGGCCAGCAUCCAUCUUAUGUGGGCCGAGUGAAGUAUGAGCUGAAGAAUGACAGUCUGUCACUGAAUCUGAUGAAUGUGAGCUUCAGUGACAGUGAGACAUUCAAGUGUAUCACUAAAGAGCUUAAUGGUACUGAAGUUAUCACGUCUGACAUCUGCAGCGUCAACCUGUCAGUUAAAGACUCAGGUGAGUUUAUAGACUCAGAUCAGAGGUUUGUGUUUUAUACAGAUGCUGACAGCUGAUACCUGACACCUCUUUCUGCUCUGCAGGUCCUAAAGCUGGAGGGAACAAGGAGGGAGGACGCAAGGAGGGAGGACGCAAGGAGGGAGGACGCAAGGAGGGAGGAUGCAAGGAGGGAGGACGCAAGGAGGGAGGACGCAAGGAGGGAGGACGCGAGGAGGGAGGAAGUGAGGAGGGAGGGAACCCGCUUAUUCCUUCUUGGGUGAUAUGUCUGAUAGUAGUUGGUCUUGUGGUGAUUUGUGGUGUCAUCGGCUUCAUGGUUUAUAAAAGACUAAUGAAGAAGAAAUCCGAGCAGCCUGCUGCUGAUGAAGAAGAGCACUUAACAUCCCCAGAAUCUGACAAGGAAUCUGUCGAGGAUCAGUGUGAAUCUAAAGUCUGAGACUCUCCACCAGGAUGAUCUGGUUCAUCAGUGCACACUAAUAUUGUUUACCUUCAUGAUUUGCUGCCUUGGCGUGGUGGAGGAGUUUGAGGACCUUUGACCUGGGAGCUGUAAACAGUGAUGUAGUCUGUAGUCCUGAAACCAGUUAGCAUGUUAGCAUGUUCGUACUCCCUGGCCGUUAACUCAAAGUCUGCUUUUUAUUAUUAGAGAUUUCAUUUUUUGCCUCAAACUACUUCCAGAUCAUCUGUGAAGAUUGUUUUGAUGAACAGAACCUGGAAGCACCAGAACCUUGUGUUUGACACAGAUUAUUUCUUUAAUUACCAUAAUGAAGUUCACUAAUCCCCCAGAGGAACCAGAGAGAUGCUAACUUCAGUUAGCUACAGACAGACGUCACCACUACAGCUCUCUAUUAUCUGGAGCACUCAGCUCCUGAAGUGUCUCCCAGAACAACCUCCCAGGUCAUCAGGUCAGACUAAAGCAACUCAGCCACCUGUAGCACUGAUGUGCCAGAACUCAUGCUGGAGAGUCACCAGUCUUUAUUUUAUGCUUCAGCAGCUUUUGUUAAAACAACACAGAGUUUAUCAGCACUUUUUAUUUUCUAUCGCUGCAUCUUAACUUCUAACAAAGGAGGAGAAGCAGCUGCAGCCUCCACUCUGAUACUUCUGAUUAUUAUGAUUAAUCAGAAGGUCAAAUCAAAGCUAUUGUAUAUAUUUUAUCAUUUUACUGUGAGGAAUUACAGUUGUCCAUUCAGUGAUCAAUGUGCUGUACAGAUCAGGAGGAGGAGUGUAAGAGGAAGGAAAACAAGAUGACAUUAACUGUAUCAAAUCACUUGUCUAGGAAAGGCACGAUCAGUUCAAACCUCAGGGGGUCACUGUUGUCCAUAGUUUCCAUCUUGAGGCCUGUGAAAGAUUAUCAGCACUUUACUUUUAACAUUGAAGGACAGGAGGAGCUGUAGCUCACUGAUGCUUCUGAUCGCCUCAGUGCCGUGUGAACAUACAAGAAGACAAGCUGAUCAUGGAAGGUCUAUGAAGUUUUAUCAUUAUGACUGGUUAGAAAGUCGAAUCAAAACUAUUCAGUAUUCUAUAAUUGUCACUGGGUUUACACAGUAAAUAUGUGAGUUUACAGACAGUGUAAUCCUGCAGCACAGUCUCAGGUGAAGAUGUGUGACAGACCUGCUGGUUCAUAGUUUCCAUCUCGACCUGAGAGCGACUCGAAGCGCAGCGUCUUCACACAGUUUGGUGUGACGGCAGGUUGAAUCCUGAGGAAAUGUGAAAGAUGUAAGCACGGCAGCAUCUUUAUUCUGUAUCAGCUGGACGUGUUUCAGUUUGUUGAGACGUUUCACCUCUCAGCCCAGAGGCUGCUUCACUUCUAACUACCUGAAGGAGCUGCAGGGUUUAAUAUGUGUGAGAGUGACACCUGUGAGCUCUGAAACUCAAAUGAUGAUGUAAUGACUUUUAUAUACUAAAGUAUAAAGUCAUAUUAUUAUUCUGCAGAAAAUGUUGUGGUCAUUAUUCAACUCCAGCUCUCACCAGGAGCAACUUGACUCCAGCGCUGAUGAACUCGACCACGAGGCUGUAAUUCUAGUUCAAAAACAUUAUUUUAAUUGAGAUGAGAGAGAGAGAAGUGAAGCAUGGCAGGAAGUUACUGCAAAUAAGGUGCAGCGUUUCUGUGAUUCAUGAAGGGAACACGUUUACGUUCAGAACGUCUGAAUCAACCCUGUAAAACAUUAAAGUAGAUCGCAAAGCACAAAGAGAGCACAGAGUUAUUUAACAGGAGGUCAAAGUUCUUUGUUUGAUGUGGCGGCUGUGUCUCAGCUGUUAAUCAGAGGGUUGCUGGUUCGAAUCCCCGGCUCCAAGACACUGAACCCAGAAUUGCUCCUGGUGUGCAGUUGGUACCUUCAACAUCAGUGUAUGAAUGUGUGUGUGAAUGUGAGAAGUGCUGCUCAUGAAUGUUUCUAACAGCUUGUAAUGAUAUUUAUGUAAAAUAAUAUGCACGUAUUAUAAGUUGUUGGGACCAUGAUUUAUUGUGUAUUUAUCAUUAUUUAUUAAUUAUAGAAUAUUUAAUAUGUUUUAUUUAUUAUUCAUAAUGAACAAACAAGAAGUUUUACACAUUGAGUUCAGUUGAACUUGUUUUCAGUAUGAUUCAUGAAGGCAGAGAGGAAGGAUGUAUUUGUGCUGAUUUCUCCUGUGUGAGGAAUGUUUUUUUGUCAGAGAUUUAGGAAAUGUGUCAAAAUAAAUGUAAUACAUUUCCUAUGUAUUUUGUUUUUUGUGUGAAUUUUUUGUGUCAUGUCUGUUGAACUGCUGUUACAGCUUAAUAUCACUGAUGCAUAAUCAGGUUGAUCUUACCUUCAGUCCGUGCAGACUGGUCAUGUAUUCAUAUUAACAACAUGUCUUUGUUUCUGUCAGUCUGAAGGUUCUGGUAUUUUCAUAAUAAUAAAUAAUAAAUUGUACUUGAACUGUUGAUCCAGGU
ensembl:lncRNA